rnacentral:rRNA from 1 species
AUUGAACGCUGGCGGCAGGCCUAACACAUGCAAGUCGAACGCGUGGCGGACGGGUGAGUAGUGUAUGGGAAACUGCCUGAUGUAGGGGGAUAACUCCUGGAAACGGUAGCUAAUACCGCAUACCAUCGGAUGUGCCCAGAUGGGAUUAGCUAGUAGGUGUGGUCACGGCUCACCUAGGCGCCGAUCCCGAGCUGGCCUGAGAGGAUGACCGGCAAACCUGGAACGGAGAAACGGUCCAGACUCCUACGGGAGGCAGCAGUGGGGAAUAUUGGGCAAUGGGCGAAAGCCUGAUGCAGCAAUGCCGCGUGUAUGAAGAAGGCCUUCGGGUUGUAAAGGACUUGUAGCGGGGAGGCGUUACCCACAGAAGAAGCACCGGCUAACUCCGUGCCAGCAGCCGCGGUAAUAC